rnacentral:lncRNA from 1 species
CCAACAACCCAAAUUUCUUAUUAAAUGAAAAAAAAAUCAAUAAAUAAACAUAAAAAGGGGGGAUUCAUAGAAUAUAGGAUAAACGUGCCCUUGGAGAAGCUGACAGGCUUGCAAAUGCAAGGGUCAACAACGCAAAGCAUAUGUUUAAACGAGAAACAUUCACAAACGGGAAAAAUUCGAUCCAAUAGGGAAGUAACUCAUCGGAAUUGGUGGGCUUUUCUUAGCUUUGCUUUCCUUCAAUUUAGCAUUACUAGCAGUGUUAGCUUUGGUCGACGACGGUGAACCGUCCUCUACUUGAGAACCAGAGAAACAACUGAAGAAACUGAUCAAGGGAGCCAUGAAAAAAUUAGGGUUAGCUUGCACAACUUUGAGGACUGAUUCUUUUGCAAGAGGCAAGUACUAGUAGUUGUUUGUUGGUGGUCAUAGUUGACUAUUAUCAUCUUUGUAAUUAAGUUAGCAGCCUAUGUAAACCAUUUCAAAUUCAAUGACGUGUACUUUUGGGGAUGUUCCCGUAUAUGAAAAUAGAAGAAUUGGUCGCACAAAUAUUUACUUGUAAAAAAAAAAAAAUCAUGAGUAAAAAAUAUUUACUAAUCGGCAGGAGAAAAUAAUAUUAGAAGAGCAAAACCUAAAACUCGAAUACAAAAUUUUCUAAAAGAUUUUCUCUAAAACUUUUCAUUAAAAUUCGCGUAAAAGAUAUUAUAUGAACUCCUUAAAUUAGGCUUAAGGAGACCCUUUAAUUAAACUAAUAUUAAAAUUCUAAUAUGACUAAUACAUUCCUAGAUUGUUCAAAGUUCAACUGAGAAAAGAUAACCAAAUUUAACUGGAAAAAAAUACCCAAUUUAUAUGGGAAUACUUUGCCAUGAGUGAUGAUUAAUGUUAGAUAAAAUAGUUCAAUUAACUAGAAAAAUAGGCAGCAUCCUUAAAAUUUUCAGUUAACUGAUCGAAUUAAUUGAAAUAUUUCGGUUUGAUUAAUUUUUUUUGAAAAAAAUUCGGUUCAAUUAAAGGUUAAAGAAUUAAAAAGUUCAGUUAAUUCAAUUAAUAUUAAUUCAGUUAAUCGUUUGAACAUCCUAAGUUUGACACACCGGUGGUACCUAUUAAAAAAUAUUUUUUUAAAAUUUAUCAGUGAUGCGACUUGACUCGCCGGUGGCACUCAUUAAAUUUGUUUUUGUCUCAGCUUUGUGUUUUUUUUUCUGACUAUGGUUUUUUUUUUUUAAAUUUCACUUGUGCCUGUGUCGCCUCCUGACACACUGACGAUACCAUUAAAAAAAUAUAUUUUUUCCAUCAGUAUACACAUAUUUUCACUGGCAUUUGGAAAAAUACAUACCAAUGCCGCUUGACACAGUGACGAUACAAAAAAAAUUCUUUUUUUUUUUUUAAAAUCACAUGAUUCACUCAAAAGGGAGGGUAGUGCUGCCAACGUGUUAGGCAACACGGGCGGGUAUUGCUAAAAACAACUCAUUUUCAUAAAUAAUUAUCUCUCAACCCACAUUCACAUUUAAUUAAUAUUUUUAUAUUUUUUAUAUAAAAAAACGACUCAUUUUAAUAAAAUGAGUUUUAUUUUAUAUUUUUGGAUAAAGUUUCAAAAUCAAUAAAAGAUAUUAAACAAAUAAAAAAAAUCAAUGACUUAUAUAGUGUUUGAAAGAUAUUUUGAUAUAGUGUUUUUAACUUAUUUUCACAGUUUUAUAUAUAAAAUAUUUAUUUUUACAUCAUAAAAAUUAAAAAUAAUUAUAAAUCAAAUAAAAAAUAGAAUCCAAUUCAAUUUGAGAAACUAUAAUUUUUAAACUUAUAUUUCAUAGAUGGUCCAAACACUUCGAUUGGGACAACUUUUUGGUUUCUCAAUUUUUCUUGAUCACCAGACAUUGUUAGUUGAAAUGAAAUCUCUUAAGCUCAAUGGAAAUUAUUAUAUUUUAUCGGAGAAUUUUUGGUAUUCAAUAAUCAUAUUGUAUUCUGACUAAAUUGAGAAUCCAACAAAAUUAGAUGUUUAAAUAAGUAAAAGCUUUAGGAUAUUCACAAAACGUGAAAUAGAGACUUUACUUAAAGAGAAUCAAACUCUUUACCAUUCGUCCAACAGAUAAGAACCGACAAAGAUAAGAGUUUAUAGCAAGAAAAAGCCUUGACCAGAAAAAAAAAAUGGUAAAAUUACUGUAUAUUCCUUUCAAAUCUUGUGAAAUUUCUAACUAAUACAAAGAUUUUUAUUAUUUUUCCAACAAAAACAUUAGAGCAAGCUGAGCCUUUUACCCUUUUGUUUUUUGCUGCUUGAGUAUAUAAGCUUUUGGGCUGUUUUAUUUUUGAAAUAUUAAUUAUAUUGAAAAUUAUUAUUUAAAUAUAAUUUUAUAUAAAUAAAUUUAGAAUUAAACUAAAAGAAUUAUGAGAAAUUUCUUAGAAAUUAUAUUAAUUAUAAUUUCAUUUCACGAAUUAUCUCAAUUUCUUGGAAAUUUCAAAUAUUUCCAACAUAACUUGACAGUAACACAAAUUGCUUAUUAAAUGGAAAAAAAUCAAUAAAUAGACAUAAAAAGGGGGUUCAUAGAAUAUAUAUAGGAUAAAGGUGCCCUUGGAGAAGCUGAUAUUCACAAACGAGAAAAAUUCGAUCCAAUAGGGAAGUAACUCAUCGGAAUUGGUGGGCUUUUCUUAGCUUUGCUUUCCUUCAAUUUAGCAUUACUAGCAGUGUUAGCUUUGAUCGACGACGGUGAAACCUUCUCUCGUUGAGAACCAGAGAAACAACUGAAGAAACUGAUCAAGAGAGCCAUGAAAAAAUUAGGGUUAGCUUGCACAACUUUGAGGACUGAUUCUUUUGCAAGAGGCAAGUACUAGUAGUUGUUUGUUGGAACAUGAUAUUGUUGGUGGUCUGGUCUCUUUAUAUAUAUAAGCAGGCUGUUGGGUUUUGAGAGAGGAAAGGACAUGCAUGGAACCUGGACUGAUGUUGUAGCUUUCAGGUUGUUCUUGGUGUCUUCGAGGAAAGGGAUAAGGUGUGUGGUGUUUCAUGCGUGGUGAACAAGCAUGAAAAAGAAAAGGUUAAGUUGAAAUUUCAACACAGUGCUCAUAGUUGACUAUUAUCAUCUUUGUAAUUAAGUUAGCAGCCUAUGUAAACCAUUUCAAAUUCAAUGACGUCUACAUAUAUAAAAUUAUAAAUUUUUGGAGGGCUAGGUUAAAAAAUUUGUGUUGUGUUGUGUUGUGUGUCACAGGACUAAAACUUAAAUUUUGUAAACUCCGCAGCUUUAGCCAGAAAUUUAGCUUUAAAUCUGCAGAAGUCAACUUAACUGUCGAAAGUGAGAAUUUAUAAAAAAAAUUCUUUAAGUCACCGAAAUAAAGUGGAAGUAAACUCAAAGCGGAAAAGUAACUAAAGAACCAAAAAAGCGAUAAGAACUUUGAAUGAAAUGUUUACAAAUGAGGGAGAACGCCUCUAUUUAAAGUUGAACUCUCCCAAAUUCAAUAAUACUGUCUAAAUUACAUCAACGGUUAAAAUUAAAGUCUAUGUACAAGAUACUAUGCUUGUAGAUUUUAUCCGCAUUUUCCAAUUACAUCGUUUUUAGUAUUUUUUUAUUUAUUUUGAAAUUUCAUUUUUAGCAGGGCAAAGGGAGGGGCCAGACAAGGACAUUGGCCACCUAAAAUUAAAAUUUUUUGUUUUAGACCCUGUAAAUUUAUAAAUUUAUAAGUUAAUUCACAGUAAAAUUAUAGUUUAGCUCCCCAAAAUAAUAAAAUCUCAAUUUAGUCUCUCAAAAAGCUGUGAAAAUAUAAGCCAAUACAAUGGUGAAAUCGCAUUUUAACUCCCAUAAAAAUAUAUAACAUAAUCUCGUCUCCAAAAAAUUUGUCUAACUUCUCCCUGAUUCUUAGUCUUUAAGCUUUUUUUAAUUGAACCAUUUCAUUUGACAAUCAAUUUAAUUGACCAAAGUAAGUAAUGUUAAUUUGAUUUAAUUAAAUCGAUAACUAAUUAAUUUGCAAGUUGAUUGAUUCAACAGAAUAUUCGUUGGGUUAACUGAUAAGACAGAUUACCCUCCCCUAAUUGAUUCGCAUCAAAGAACUUUGAAAACUAUGGAAGUGCAUAGUUCAGCCAAAUGCUAAGGACCUAGUCAAUUCAUUCAGCCAAAUUUUCCAACAUAAAUUGAGCUCCACACACUUUGAGUUAUAUAAAUUACAUCUUCAAAUAUCAACUUAAUAAUAAAUUAAAAUGUGCUAUGGGUACUUAUACUCUUUAAUUAUUUAAAAUUUAAUCCCUUUCAAAUUUAAAAAUACAAGUUAACGGAUCCUUACAUUAGAAGACGGUGGGCAUAGAAAGAGGAAAACAUUAAAUGAUAUUCAUCGGGUAUCUUGCUAUUCAUCGGGUCAUGACAAGAUGAAUUAAAUGAUAUUCUUUACUAAGCCAGGGGCGAAGGUGUAUGACUCUCGUAAAAUGAAAAAUUGUUACUUUAAUCCUCAAAUUUUAUAAAAUAUUAAAUUAAUAUACAGCAAAACUAUAAUUUAACUCUUUAAAAAUGUUAAAUUUCUGCUGCCCAUACAUAUCAUUAUCCAAAUACUUAAUCUAAAAUUGAGAUGUUUUGCGUUUAGAUUAUUUUAAUUUGAAGUUCGAAUUUUUUCGAAUUGUAUCGGUAUAAGUUUUACUUUAAUUUUUUAUCAUUAUAAGUUUGAGUUGAUAUUAUUUUCGAGUUAAUUUGAAUUUAUUAAAUUAGAGGAGUAUGAAUAAUGGAUGUUUCUUAAUUAGGUUUGGUCUUGAACUUACAUUAAUCUGAUUUUAUCUAUAAUAAUUUGCACUUAACACACGUUCUUAAUGAAAAAAUACAGCGACACAUUUGAGUUAUAAAAAUAAUUUUUCCAAAUAUCAACAAAAAUGAAAUUUCUUACAAAAGAAUACACUAAACUCUAACAGUAGAUGUCCUAAACAAACAUUAUUAACAUUGUCGAAGAUGAAAACAAAUUAAGACAAUUCUCAAAAGAAAAAACAAAGAGUUGAUUAGAAUACAGAGAAAACGUGCUCUUAAAGAAGCUGACAUGCAUGUAAGCAUCUGUUUCAACUCCAACAUCGGACUUGAGACCAGUCUGUCUCGGGACAUGAGCGUUUAAAGGAUGGAUUCCAACUUAUACUACUUCGACCAACAGCUUUCAUAACAGGGAAAGUUUUGAUCCGAUAGGGAAGUAAGUAAUGGGAAUAGGAGGGUUGUUCUUAGCCUUGCCUUCCUUCAAUUUAGCAUCACUACCUGCUUUACUAACGGUUGAUGAUGAUGGUUGAGUGUCUUCUCCUUGGGAAGCUACCUUAUUAGAACCAGAGAAAAAACAAGCGACGAAACUGGUUGAAAAGAAAGCCAUUGAAAAAAGAUUACACAACUUUGAGGACUGAUUCUUUUGCAAGAUACAAGUACUAGUAGUUGUUUGUUGGAACAUGAUAUUGUUGGUGGUCUGGUCUCUUUAUAUAAGCAGGCUGUUGGGUUGUGAGAGAGGAAAGG